rnacentral:rRNA from 1 species
UACUCUAAGCGGUGGAUCACUUGGCUCAUGGGUCGAUGAAGAACGCAGCAAACUGUGCGUCAUCGUGUGAACUGUCAGAGACACAGGGACAUCGACAUUUGAACGCAUAUCGCAGUCCAUGCUG